GGGUAUAUAGCUCAGUGGUAGAGCCUGUACUUAGUAUGUAUGAAACCCUAGGUUCAAUCCCCAGUACAGCUG
rnacentral:tRNA from 1 species